UCUCCGUUGGUGAACCAGCGGAGGGAUCAUUACAGGACUCGCAAGACUCCUUACACCCUGUGAACCUUACUGUAUACGCGUUGCUUCGGCGGGUCCGCCCGCCGGCAGCAUACCACAUUCUGUUUCUCUGCGUUGGCAUCUUGAGAAAAAAGCAAAUAAGUUAAAACUUUCAACAACGGAUCUCUUGGUUCUG
rnacentral:misc_RNA from 1 species